GGACCGGGAUAACCCUGGGAAACUGGGGAUAAUACUGGAUAGGCAAUUAUUCCUGUAAUGGUUUUUUGUUUAAAUGUUUUUUCGCCUAAGGAUGAGUCUGCGGCCGAUUAGGUAGUUGGUUAGGUAAUGGCUUACCAAGCCGUUGAUCGGUACGGGUUGUGAGAGCAAGAGCCCGGAGAUGGAACCUGAGACAAGGUUCCAGGCCCUACGGGGUGCAGCAGGCGCGAAACCUCCGCAAUGUGAGAAAUCGCGACGGGGGGAUCCCAAGUGCCAUUCUUAACGGGAUGGCUUUUCAUUAGUGUAAAGAGCUUUUGGAAUAAGAGCUGGGCAAGGCCGGUGCCAGCCGCCGCGGUAACACCGGCAGCUCUAGUGGUAACAAUUUUUAUUGGGCCUAAAGCGUCCGUAGCCGGUUUAAUAAGUCUCUGGUGAAAUCCUGCAGCUUAACUGUGGGAAUUGCUGGAGAUACUAUUAGACUUGAGACCGGGAGAGGUUAGAGGUACUCCCAGGGUAGAGGUGAAAUUCUGUAAUCCUGGGAGGACCGCCUGUUGCGAAGGCGUCUAACUGGAACGGUUCUGACGGUGAGGGACGAAAGUUAGGGGCGCGAACCGGAUUAGAUACCCGGGUAGUCCUAACUGUAAACGAUGCGGACUUGGUGUUGGGGUGGCUUUGAGCUGCUUCAGUGCCGAAGGGAAGCUGUUAAGUCCGCCGCCUGGGAAGUACGGUCGCAAGACUGAAACUUAA
rnacentral:rRNA from 1 species